rnacentral:lncRNA from 1 species
GAAGCUGACCCGAUUGGCAGAAGAGCUUGUGGCUGAGGAGGAACGAGCAAAUCGAGGAGCAGAAAAGAAACGGCUAAAGAAGAAGGUGGUUGGGGAGGGGGCCCUUUGAGGAGGUGGGGGGGGGUGGAGAGGGAAAGUCAAGGAAGGGGCCCACCUCUGCCCUCCAACCAGGCUUCUUGAUAUGGGGGGAGAAUAACCAUAGGGGACUACUUGGAGGGGAGCCCUCACCUGGUGGGUGAAUUACAUCUACAGAAGGAGCGGAAACGGCAGGAAUGAAUGGAACAAGGAAGUGGGGGGGGGGCAAGGUAAGUGUGGGGUUUGGUGGAGGUUCAGGAUGAAUGCUUGAUGGGGAAUGGGUGGAAAAGGAUAGAAGAAGGGCUGAAGAGCACAUGUAGCAGGGAGGAAGGGGCAUAGGGUCAGAGUUGUGCAAGAAGGGACAGGGGUGGGGAACACUGAGUUUAAAACUCCAAGGUUGUUGGUCUAGGUGGAGGGCUUAAGGCACCAACACUGCUUCUAUUGCAGUGGUUCUCAACCUUUCUAAUGCCAUGACCCCGCAAUACAGUUCCUCAUGUUGCGGUGACCCCAAACCAAAAUAUUAUUUUGGUGGCUACUUCAAAACUGUAAUUUUGCUAGUUAUGAUUCGGAAUGUAAAUACCUGAUAUGCAUUAUGUAUUCUCAUUGCUACAGAUUGAGAGGUUGAGAACCGCUGUUCUAUUGGAUGUUUCUAACCAGGUGAUAGAAGAGGCUGCAGUCGCAGCAGGCCCAGCAGCAGAGGCAAGCAACUUUAACUCCAGUCCCCAAAGCCCUAGUCAAGGGAGCAGCAAUGAGGAAGAAGAAUUGGAUUUGUCAAGCACCUUCGUGUCUCAAGCCCCUCACAAGGUUGGUGACUGGCCUCCCAAUACCCAGAAAGAGAAAGUGUUGAUCCCUGAGCCUCCAGCCUUGAACUCGCAGAGCCAGAGCCCACAGGAAGGGAGCAGGAGCCAGAGUCCUCAGCUAGAGGUGAGGCCUUAUGGCUGGAACUGGUUAGAAGGGAAGGAAGUGGGGAGAAGGGAAACUACAGAUUGGACUUUCCCGAGUGGGGGUGAUGGUGGUGGGGUGGUAGGGGGAACCUUGAUCUUUAGAGGAAGGCCAUUUGUUAAGUGCUCCCUCUUCUCCCUCUUCCUACUCAUUUCCCACCAUCCAAAAUCCCAUCUCACAUACAGUGGCACUUUUUGCCUUGGCAAACCACUCCUACUGACUUCUUCCCUACUGGCUACAGACAUGCCCAUGUCUCUCUCUUCCUCAAAAAAUCCUGACUUGAUCCAUCCAUCCCUACUAGUUAUUUCAUCUCUCUCCUCCCUUUUGUGGCCAAACUCCCAGAGAAAGCUAUCUGCAAUAGUUGCUUCUACUUCCCUUACUUUCACUCUCUUAACUCUCAACAGUCUGGCUUCUGAUCUCGAUCAGUUGACCAGAAUUUCUCUCUCCAAAGUUACUAAUGAUCUCUUUUUGCCAAACCUAAUGACCUUUUCUCAAUCAUCAUCCCUUGACCAUGGUCUUUGA